GAUGGACUGUACAGAGGUUCUAUAGCAAACUCGGCCCAAGAGCAGGUUUCCAAAUCUCUCAUCAAGAGAAAGGGGAACAGAGCACCACUAGGAAAAUCUUUAAGCCUUGCAGUAAGUGGAAGAAAAAUAUCGGUGGCAAAUUCAAAGAAAUCUCAGCAGUAUUAUUAGCAAGAAUCACACCCACAAGACAAAGACAUGCCUGUACAAAGAGGAGUUAAUAAAGAAUUCUGUAAUCUAGAUGGAAACGCAAUAGUUACUUUGAAAACUCAAACAGCACAUGACAUCCGCUGUCCACCAAGAGUAAUCCAUAAUCCACGGAAGAGGAAAAUGUAGGAAGAAGGUAACAGUUCUCUAUUUGAAAAAGCAUCACCUCUAGAAGAAAAGAAAACACUUGAAAACCAUUCUGAGAGCCAGCCCCUGCUCCACCUCCUCCAGCUAGCUCCUCCUGUGCCCCAGCCUAAACCCCUAAACCACCUGGCUCUCCAAAAGGGGCUCACAGUGGAGCCAGCCACAGGGACAUUAAGUGCCUUCCAUUAGAAAAAUACCAAGACUCCUGGUAGGCAGGCCUCAUCCUGCUACGCAAGCCAACAAGGAAAACAUGACCUGAGAAGCUGUUGGCUCCAAAGUAUUGGCUUCACUAGCUCCUACAUCCACCUCAUCCUGUCCCCAACCUUCAAAGGAACAAGUUUCUAGCAAAACGUUAACCACGGGGACCACCAACAGCAAGGAAAAUCUAGCAAGCGGCCAACACCUCAACCAUUGUGAGAUGCAAUCAGUCUGGCGUGGUGAGCUUUAGAGGAGAUCUUUCCGGAACAGAGUGGAGAGUCUCAAAAUUUAGCAGCCAUGCCUGUCUCCAAAGAGCAGACCACACACAAAUUCCACAAGUCAGUGACCCUUGUGUCCUGUGUUCUACCUCCUCCUCUUGACAAUUAACACGUCAUUCCCUCAGACACUCCUGCUGUCCUGGUUAGUGAUGGAGCUCCCCUGCCCAUCUCUGCCUUAGACCCAAGUCAGCUUCUCUGGACUGAAGAGCCAACAGACAGAACCACUCUGCAUCAGACACUGGUUUACACAUCAGAGAAGACAACAUUUUCACAACCAACAAUACAUCAGGAAAGACAGCACCUCAGCUAAUGAUUCCUACAUUGAUGGGAAGAUCUUCAGAAUCUUUCAGUGUCCCAAAGGAUGAAGAUCAAAGGGAAUCACUGAGCCAGUGACUCUGACGGGUCUAUUUUGGAUACCAAUGACCACAAGGAAGAAGAUAAGGAUGGCAGUGGAGGCUCUGGCACGUAACACAGGUAAAGAAUACUCUCACAAUCACUCUUGGCAACUGACCAUCUAAGAAAGAAUCAGAGGAAAAAACACUGUUUAGCAACAUCUGAGCAAGAGAGUCAGGGAAUCCGACAACAAAUUG
rnacentral:lncRNA from 1 species